UGGGUUCAACAUACUUAAAUCCCAACGACUGGGUCUUUAAUACCUUCAACAGAAGACCUAAAAGUUCCCUCAGAGUAAGUUUCCAGGCUGACCUGAUCUUUCCUGGUCAACUCACAAGCCUUGUCUGCAUCUGGUUUUCUUCCUCCUGUGUGUGACCAUACCCAAGAACCUCCUCCCUGUGCUGAACACAGCCUGUCUGAAGGUCCAGGUGUUUCUGGUAAGUGUUUUCACAUAAUUUGUGGUGGUUUUUCCAAGUUAACAUAAUGUUGGAUUGCCUGCAGGUUGUGGGGCUUCCAGCCCUGAAGAUACUGCAGCCUCCAUCCUGUUCUUGGACCUGCUUUGGGCAGAGAUUGGAGCAGGUUUGUGGGAACACCGUCCCUUGGAGCAGACCUCUUCUGCUGCAGCAACUGCUGCCCACCACAUCUCUAUGGUCAUCUCAGAUUAAUAUUUUUCCACUUAUCACAUAGGCCUACUUGCCCCACAGGGAUGAAGGCAGGAGAGUGAUGGGAACACUCCUGGUGGGUUGUCACUCGUCAUGCUGACUGGGAGGUGUGACUGCAUGGACCACAGGAUGGACCACAGGCUUGGUCACGCAGGAUGUGAGUCACUUGAAGGAACUCUGCUGUCCUGACAUGGAGCAAACAGGGGUAGUGAGUCAGGAGUGGCCUAAGUAUGCCAUGGUGGAGCACCAGAAAUAACCUCAGGCUCUACAGAGGAGCUGCUGACGUGGGGACAACAGGAAUUUCAGGAUUCUGACAGUGUGUAAGGGGGUGGCAGAGCUCCAGAUGGGGUUUCCUGUGGUAGGAGCUGGAGCAGGCUUUGAACCUGUGCUGCUUUUAGAGCUGAAAUAGCUUUUCAUGUCUGUCUGCUGGCCCAACAACACCCUCGCUGCACUGAGGAGCCCCUGACUGUGAUCUGCUGCACAGAGAAUCUGCCAGGGCCCAGCAGCAAGAUUAAUGUGUCUGGGAAUUUCCUGGUGAGACUUUUUGUGCUAUUUACCAGAAGUCCCUUGAAGGCAGAAAUUAUUGCAUUAAAAGAUUAAGGCAUCAUUAAUCAUAUUUUUUGGUCUUCCAUUUUCUUCUGGCAGGCUGGCUCAGUAUUACUGGUAAGGUUUUUUUUGUUUUGUUUUUCUCCAUUCAGAAGAAUAACUUUCUGUGAGUCUUUUCUGUGACUGCCAUCCUCAGGUAAGACAGAACCUCAAGAAAAUUUUGGGCAGCUGAGUGGAAUUGCUCACUAUUGUGAACACCGACAUUAUGGCCUACUUGCUUUCCAGGUUUCUUUGAGUGAUGUAUAUAAUUCAUGGUUCUUCAUAAAAAUAAUAUAAAUAACUAAAAAAACCCAAGGUAUUUAUAAGAUAUUGUCAGUGUCCAAAAUCUUGCCUGGGUGUGAGGGGGACAAUGUGGAAUGGAAGGUGGUUGUAGAUGUACCAAUUUCUACUGGUGUGGUGGCAGGGUUUGAGAUGGAGGGGUUGACCUGGUGGUGCAGCUUCAGAGUGGUUCCCAGCCAUGGUCUGGCUCCAGAAAGAGGGUGGUUGAAGCAUAGCUUAGAUGCUCAUUUUAGAAAUAUUUGGAAAAUAUGUCCUAACUUUUUAAGCAGAAAUAUAAUCAAGAAAGAAAUAGCUGCUAUGAUAGAAACAGGGUGAAUUUUUAAAUUUGCUUUUCUUAUUGAGAGACUGCACCACAGGCCAUAGAUACAACAGAAAGUUGUGUCCUGGUUCCCUGGUGCUUCAUUCAUUUCCAUCCCCACAGCUUUCCUUCUGUGCCAUGUCAAGGAGGGCUCUGGCUGUGCCUGGUACUACUGUGAGCAAAGCAUUUCUUAAUUUAUGUGCUAAUUAACUUGACAGAGCGAUUUGAUCGUUGGGAGCUUGGGCUCCGGGCAAGCCUGUGUUCGCAGGCAGGGUUCCUUCCCUUUUAUUUUAACUCGAGCAGGGAACGCGAGGCUGGAGCGGUGGGAGGCAGCGGCUCCUCCGGGGGCGGGGGUUCGGGAUGCGAUAAAGCGCGAGCGCUGUGGAGGAUGCGGCAGCUUCAGAAAUAUCUGCUUUCAGCCUCCCCUUUUAAUGGAAGUUUUAUUUUAGAAAGUUUUAGUUAACGUCAUCCUAAAGUUUAUUUCCAUUUUUAUCUUUUAAAUAAAGAGGCUGUAAAGCUCCUGGCUGGGUUUUUCAUUUCUGCUGGCUGCAAAAAGAGAGGUGAAUGAGCUGCUUGUCUCCCACGGGGAUGCUUUAGGGGCUGCUCGGCUCCAGCCUGACCUACCU